rnacentral:rRNA from 1 species
AUUGAACGCUGGCGGAAGGCCUAACACAUGCAAGUCGAACGAGUGGCGGACGGGUGAGUAAUGUCUGGGAAACUGCCCGAUGGAGGGGGAUAACUACUGGACACGGUAGCUAAUACCGCAUAACAGCGGAUGUGCCCAGAUGGGAUUAGCUAGUAGGUGGGGUAAUGGAUCACCUAGGCGACGAUCCCUAGCUGGUCUGAGAGGAUGACCAGCCACACGGGAACUGAGACACGGUCCAGACUCCUACGGGAGGCAGCAGUGGGGAAUAUUGCACAAUGGGCGCAAGCCUGAUACAGCCAUGCCGCGUGUAUGAAGAAGGCCUUCGGGUUGUAAAGUACUUUCAGCGAGGAGGCGUUACUCGCAGAAGAAGCACCGGCUAACUCCGUGCCAGCAGCCGCGGUAAUUC